rnacentral:rRNA from 1 species
UACGGGGGGGGCAAGCGUUGUUCGGAAUUACUGGGCGUAAAGCGCACGUAGGCGGAUUUGUCAGUCAGGGGUGAAAUCCCGGGGCUCAACCUCGGAACUGCCUUUGAUACAGCAAGUCUUGAGUUCGAGAGAGGUGAGUGGAAUUCCUAGUGUAGAGGUGAAAUUCGUAGAUAUUAGGAAGAACACCAGUGGCGAAGGCGGCUCACUGGUCCGGUACUGACGCUGAGGUGCGAAAGCGUGGGGAGCAAACAGG